UUGAAAGUGCAGGUGGAUAGAGAGAGGUGUGUUGCAGCAGGGACACGUGUAAAAGUUUCAGGACACCGGCCCUCGAGGACUGGAAUUUGACACCUGUGGUCUAAGGGAGUCUCUGUGAGUCACUAACCCUCCAACAGAUGUCCCCAAAAGGCAGAAACAUCCACCCUACAAUAAUUCUAAACAAACCUUCUGUCCACAUGAAGUUAGAAGGCACUUAUAAUCACUUAACAGUGAAAU